UACGUAGGGGCAAGCGUUGUCCGGAUUUAUUGGGCGUAAAGAGCGUGUAGGCGGCUAGAUAGGUCCGUUGUGAAAACUCGAGGCUCAACCUCGAGACGUCGAUGGAAACCAUCUGGCUAGAGUCCGGAAGAGGAGAGUGGAAUUCCUGGUGUAGCGGUGAAAUGCGCAGAUAUCAGGAAGAACACCCGUGGCGAAGGCGGCUCUCUGGUACGUGACUGACGCUGAGACGCGAAAGCCGUGGGGAGCAAACAGG
rnacentral:rRNA from 1 species